rnacentral:rRNA from 1 species
UACGGAGGGAGCUAGCGUUGUUCGGAAAUACUGGGCGUAAAGCGCACGUAGGCGGCGCAGCAAGUCAGGGGUGAAAUCCCGGGGCUCAACUCCAGAACUGCCAUUGAAACUGUUAGACUUGAGUACGAGGGAGGUGAGUGGAAUUCCCAGUGUAGAGGUGAAAUUCGUAGAUAUUGGGAAGAACACCAGUGGCGAAGGCGGCUCACUGGCUCGUAACUGACGCUCAGGCGCGACAGCGUGGGGAUCAAACAGG